rnacentral:rRNA from 1 species
AUACUGCAAGUCGAGCGAAUGGAUUGAGAGCUUGCUCUCAAGAAGUUAGCGGCGGACGGGUGAGUAACACGUGGGUAACCUGCCCAUAAGACUGGGAUAACUCCGGGAAACCGGGGCUAAUACCGGAUAACAUUUUGAACUGCAUGGUUCGAAAUUGAAAGGCGGCUUCGGCUGUCACUUAUGGAUGGACCCGCGUCGCAUUAGCUAGUUGGUGAGGUAACGGCUCACCAAGGCAACGAUGCGUAGCCGACCUGAGAGGGUGAUCGGCCACACUGGGACUGAGACACGGCCCAGACUCCUACGGGAGGCAGCAGUAGGGAAUCUUCCGCAAUGGACGAAAGUCUGACGGAGCAACGCCGCGUGAGUGAUGAAGGCUUUCGGGUCGUAAAACUCUGUUGUUAGGGAAGAACAAGUGCUAGUUGAAUAAGCUGGCACCUUGACGGUACCUAACCAGAAAGCCACGGCUAACUACGUGCCAGCAGCCGCGGUAAUACGUAGGUGGCAAGCGUUAUCCGGAAUUAUUGGGCGUAAAGCGCGCGCAGGUGGUUUCUUAAGUCUGAUGUGAAAGCCCACGGCUCAACCGUGGAGGGUCAUUGGAAACUGGGAGACUUGAGUGCAGAAGAGGAAAGUGGAAUUCCAUGUGUAGCGGUGAAAUGCGUAGAGAUAUG